AGUGAACGCUGGCGGUAGACCUAACACAUGCAAGUCGAACGGCAGCACAGUAAGAGCUUGCUCUUACGGGUGGCGAGUGGCGGACGGGUGAGGAAUACAUCGGAAUCUACUUUUUCGUGGGGGAUAACGUAGGGAAACUUACGCUAAUACCGCAUACGACCUACGGGUGAAAGCAGGGGAUCUUCGGACCUUGCGCGAUUGAAUGAGCCGAUGUCGGAUUAGCUAGUUGGCGGGGUAAAGGCCCACCAAGGCGACGAUCCGUAGCUGGUCUGAGAGGAUGAUCAGCCACACUGGAACUGAGACACGGUCCAGACUCCUACGGGAGGCAGCAGUGGGGAAUAUUGGACAAUGGGCGCAAGCCUGAUCCAGCCAUACCGCGUGGGUGAAGAAGGCCUUCGGGUUGUAAAGCCCUUUUGUUGGGAAAGAAAAGCAGCAGGUUAAUACCCCGCUGUUCUGACGGUACCCAAAGAAUAGCACCGGCUAACUUCGUG
rnacentral:rRNA from 1 species